UACGAAGGGUGCAAGCGUUAAUCGGAAUUACUGAGCGUAAAGCGCGCGUAGGUGGUUCAGUAAGUUGGAUGUGAAAUCCCCGGGCUCAACCUGGGAACUGCAUCCAAAACUGCUGAGCUAGAGUACGGUAGAGGGUGGUGGAAUUUCCUGUGUAGCGGUGAAAUGCGUAGAUAUAGGAAGGAACACCAGUGGCGAAGGCGACCACCUGGACUGAUACUGACACUGAGGUGCGAAAGCGUGGGGAGCAAACAGG
rnacentral:rRNA from 1 species